rnacentral:lncRNA from 1 species
AAGGUGUGAAAGAAAAAUGAAGUAGAGUUUUGGGAUGAAGAGAUUUGGUGUGAGAGAAAAUGAUGGAUAAUAUGUAAUUAUGUGUGUGUGUAUGAGAAAGAAGAAAUGUUUGGAAAGAUAUGUGGUGUGAGAGAGAAGAGAUGAAUAUUGUAUAAUGGUGUGUGUAGGUGUGUGUAGAGAAGUAAGUGUGUAAAAAAAAAAUAUAUGUGGGAAGAUAUGUGUGUGAGAGAGAAAGAGAAGAAAAAUGGAUAUUAUGGAAAUGUGUAAGUAAGUGUAGGAAAAUGAAGUGAAGAGAAGAUGGGUAUUUAUAGAGUUAAGGAUGAAGAAAGUGUUAAAUAAAAUAUAUUUUUAUAAAAAAGUGGGUGGAAAAAUAGUAAUAAUUAAGGUGGAAAAUAAGUGAAAGAAAUAAUAUAAAAAGUGAGUGGAUAAAUUAGGUGAAAUAAAAUAUAGUAAAUAGUAAAAGUUAAUGUGGAAAAUAAGUGAAAGAAAUAAUAUAAAAAGUGAGUGN